CAUAGACCUAAUAUCAAAUGGACAGGCCCUUAGAGAGAAAUUCUGGCAUGCCGCAUAUGAAAGAGAGAGAUGGAGCUAGAUGAGUCAACGUCAAAAUCAUAUGGAUCAAAACAUUGAACUCACAUUCAGAAAAUCGCAAAUUUUUCUCUCAUUCUGAAUUGAACACAUAGUUAAUCUGAUUGAUUACGAUUUGUAAAAGUGUUGAACAUUCUAAUAAAAGGAAUUAGCGAAUCCAUCUGCUUUUGCGAAAUUCAAAGCACCAAAAGAACUAAUUUUCAAAUAAAAUUCCUCACACUCGUGCAGCCUUCAAUUGUACAGCGAGAUUAGAAAAAAGCCAGAAGUUGAAAUUUCAUUCUUCACAGUUUUCCAAAGGAUGACAAAUUAAGGGAACAGUGGAUGAAAGCUGAAGAAGAAUUGAUUUCAACCCUUUUUCCUUGUUGAAAAUAUGCAGCAACCGUUUUCAUCAACAUGAUUUAUUAAUAUUCAUGGUACAAAAACUCUGAAAAAAGAUGUUAUUCCUUCAGUUUUCAGUUUCUCCAAUUAUAUGCCUGAGAGAUUAAAUUAUGGAGAUAAAUGUCUUGAAGAUAAUAUUGAAGGUACAUUAAUAUUUUAUUUUUUAUGGAUGUGAAAUAUCUAUUUAUUUUCCGUCCCUUAUUUUAUUCAUUCAUAUAAAUAAUUAUUGC